CCUUUGUACACACCGCCCGUCGCUACUACCGAUUGAAUGGCUUAGUGAGGCUUUCGGACUGGCCCGCGGAUGUCGGAAACGAUGACUGCGGGCCGGAAAGUUAGUCAAACUUGGUCAUUUAGAGG
rnacentral:rRNA from 1 species